rnacentral:rRNA from 1 species
AGAGUUUGAUCCUGGCUCAGAUUGAACGCUGGCGGCAGGCCUAACACAUGCAAGUCGAGCGGCAGCACGGGUACUUGUACCUGGUGGCGAGCGGCGGACGGGUAAGUAAUGCCUAGGAAUCUGCCUGGUAGUGGGGGAUAACGCUCGGAAACGGACGCUAAUACCGCAUACGUCCUACGGGAGAAAGCAGGGGACCUUCGGGCCUUGCGCUAUCAGAUGAGCCUAGGUCGGAUUAGCUAGUUGGUGAGGUAAUGGCUCACCAAGGCGACGAUCCGUAACUGGUCUGAGAGGAUGAUCAGUCACACUGGAACUGAGACACGGUCCAGACUCCUACGGGAGGCAGCAGUGGGGAAUAUUGGACAAUGGGCGAAAGCCUGAUCCAGCCAUGCCGCGUGUGUGAAGAAGGUCUUCGGAUUGUAAAGCACUUUAAGUUGGGAGGAAGGGCAGUUACCUAAUAC